UCUAGGAAACGCGGCCACUCGCUGGUCGGGACGUCCCCGGAAAUUCCGCCGGGCCUCUCGCGCGGGCGUCCAGGGAGUUCGCGCGAGUUCCCGAGGGCGCGCGGGGCGCGGGGGUCGCAGCGUGAGUGCGUCAGCACAGCGACCGGCUGUGGUUCGGCUGGGGCUCCUCGCCAGAGCGCGCGGGACUUUUGUGACAGAGAUAUAGGCGAAAGUCACUUUUAAAUAUCAGCCAAAAACACAAGAUCAUUCACUCUGAGGGAGGUCAGCUGUCACAUUGUGAGGAGUGGCCCAUGUGGUGAGGAAUGGAAGCCCUCUGCCAACAGCCAUGUGAGUGAGUUUGGAAGUGCAUCUUCCAGCCCCCAGUCAAGACUUCAGAUGACUACAGCACAGCUCAAAGGCUCAAAGCCAACAGCUAAGCUGCUCUCAGAUUCCUGAUGUGCAGAAACUGUGCGAGAUUGAAAUCUGGCCUCUCACAACAGUAUGGAUGGACCUAGAGGAUAUUCUGCCAAAUGAAAUAACUCAGAUAGGGAAAGACAAAUGCCACAUAAUUUCACUUACAUGCAGAAUGUUGCUUUUUUUGAUUUGGAUUCAUUCAUCCAUGAAUCAUAUAUGCAACUUAUGAAUUAAUGAAUAGUACAUCUGAAAUUAGUGAUGUGCUGUAUGUUGGUAAUUGAAUUUAAAUUAAGAAAAGAAUUACCUGAACAUUUAAACAUCCAUGUAUUUUUUUAAUCUACUCUGUCUUCUAAAUCUAAAACCAUGCACUUUUUUAUGGCUGAGUACAUUCCAUUGUGUAUAUUUAUGUAUGUAUAUGAAUAUGCAUAUAUGUAUAAACAUAUACAUUAAGACAUGUAUAUGCAUAUGCAUGUAUACAUAUAUGUAUAUAUGUGUAUGUGUAUAUAUAUACACACACACAUCUUGUAUAUAUAUGUAUAUAUAUAUAUAUACAUAUACAUAUAUAUACAUCUUCUUUAUCCAUUCAUCCACCAAUGGACACUUGGGCUGUUUCCAUAUCUAGGCUGUUGUAAAUAAUUCUGCAAUAAACAUAUGGGUAUAUAACUUUUUGAAUUAGUGUUUUUGUUUCCCCCCCCCUUUUUUUUCACUUGUUGUGAUGAGCACUGGGUG